GGGCCUAUAGCUCAGCUGGUUAGAGCGGUCGGCUCAUAACCGAUUGGUCACAGGUUCGAAUCCUGUUAGGCCCACCA
rnacentral:tRNA from 1 species